CCUGUCCGAAGCACUUCAUCACACUUGUAGCCAUGACUGGCUAACGUGAUCCUCCGGACAAAGCCUCCUCAGCACCCGGUCAUCAAAGAAUUAACCGAGAGACCAACACCUUCAACUUCGUGGUCGAGCUCCGCUUGGACUUCAAGCCGAGAGACAACGAACGCCUCCAGCUUCGUGGUCAAGCACCCUACGAGGUCAAAUUAUCUGGAAGCCACAGCCUGACCCUGCCUUACCGGACUCUAGACCUGUAACCCAAAACCAACAUAAGGACUCAGAAAUAGGAGGGUCGCUGAGAACACUAGAGUACACCCAGAUUGAAGACUGCUGCCUGGUUUGGAUUUACUACAGAUGGGAUGGGAAGAUGGGCAAAUCUAAAAUGCCUUUGAAAAUGAAGUCUGCACACAUAUUAAGUCUUUUACAGUAAAUGCAGCUGGGUCCUGGUUUUUGAAUUACUCUUCAGCUGCAAGUGAAACCUUAUAUGAUGCACUUUAUAUUUUCUGAAAAUCAAUCCAAUGUCUUUUCUUCUCAAAAGCUGACUUAAAAAUAAACUGAAUAUAAAACCCCCAUGUUAAA